rnacentral:rRNA from 1 species
GAAACUCGUAUUAAUACCGCAUACGACCUACGGGAGAAAGGGGGCAGUUUACUGCUCUCGCUAUUAGAUGAGCCUAAGUCGGAUUAGCUAGAUGGUGGGGUAAAGGCCUACCAUGGCGACGAUCUGUAGCUGGUCUGAGAGGAUGAUCAGCCACACCGGGACUGAGACACGGCCCGGACUCCUACGGGAGGCAGCAGUGGGGAAUAUUGGACAAUGGGGGAAACCCUGAUCCAGCCAUGCCGCGUGUGUGAAGAAGGCCUUUUGGUUGUAAAGCACUUUAAGCAGUGAAGAAGACUCCAUGGUUAAUACCCAUGGACGAUGACAUUAGCUGCAGAAUAAGCACCGGCUAACUCUGUGCCAGCAGCCGCGGUAAUACAGAGGGUGCAAGCGUUAAUCGGAAUUACUGGGCGUAAAGGGAGCGUAGGUGGCUCUAUAAGUCAGAUGUGAAAUCCCCGGGCUUAACCUGGGAACUGCAUCUGAAACUGUAGAGCUAGAGUAUGUGAGAGGAAGGUAGAAUUCCAGGUGUAGCGGUGAAAUGCGUAGAGAUCUGGAGGAAUACCGAUGGCGAAGGCAGCCUUCUGGCAUAAUACUGACACUGAGGCUCGAAAGCGUGGGUAGCAAACAGGAUUAGAUACCCUGGUAGUCCACGCCGUAAACGAUGUCUACUAGUCGUUGGGUCCCUUGAGGACUUAGUGACGCAGCUAACGCAAUAAGUAGACCGCCUGGGGAGUACGGCCGCAAGGUUAAAACUCAAAUGAAUUGACGGGGGCCCGCACAAGCGGUGGAGCAUGUGGUUUAAUUCGAUGCAACGCGAAGAACCUUACCUGGUCUUGACAUAUCUAGAAUCCUGCAGAGAUGCGGGAGUGCCUUCGGGAAUUAGAAUACAGGUGCUGCAUGGCUGUCGUCAGCUCGUGUCGUGAGAUGUUGGGUUAAGUCCCGCAACGAGCGCAACCCUUGUCCUUAGUUACCAGCGGGUUAAGCCGGGAACUCUAAGGAUACUGCCAGUGACAAACUGGAGGAAGGCGGGGACGACGUCAAGUCAUCAUGGCCCUUACGACCAGGGCUACACACGUGCUACAAUGGUAGGUACAGAGGGCAGCUACACAGCGAUGUGAUGCGAAUCUCAAAAAGCCUAUCGUAGUCCAGAUUGGAGUCUGCAACUCGACUCCAUGAAGUAGGAAUCGCUAGUAAUCGCGGAUCAGAAUGCCGCGGUGAAUACGUUCCCGGGCCUUGUACACACCGCCCGUCACACCAUGGGAGUUGAUUGCACCAGAAGUGGAUAGCUUAACCUUC